rnacentral:rRNA from 1 species
GUGUAGGCUGGUUUUCCAGGCAAAUCCGGAAAAUCAAGGCUGAGGCGUGAUGACGAGGCACUACGGUGCUGAAGCAACAAAUGCCCUGCUUCCAGGAAAAGCCUCUAAGCAUCAGGUAACAUCAAAUCGUACCCCAAACCGACACAGGUGGUCAGGUAGAGAAUACCAAGGCGCUUGAGAGAACUCGGGUGAAGGAACUAGGCAAAAUGGUGCCGUAACUUCGGGAGAAGGCACGCUGAUAUGUAGGUGAGGUCCCUCGCGGAUGGAGCUGAAAUCAGUCGAAGAUACCAGCUGGCUGCAACUGUUUAUUAAAAACACAGCACUGUGCAAACACGAAAGUGGACGUAUACGGUGUGACGCCUGCCCGGUGCCGGAAGGUUAAUUGAUGGGGUUAGCGGUAACGCGAAGCUCUUGAUCGAAGCCCCGGUAAACGGCGGCCGUAACUAUAACGGUCCUAAGGUAGCGAAAUUCCUUGUCGGGUAAGUUCCGACCUGCACGAAUGGCGUAAUGAUGGCCAGGCUGUCUCCACCCGAGACUCAGUGAAAUUGAACUCGCUGUGAAGAUGCAGUGUACCCGCGGCAAGACGGAAAGACCCCGUGAACCUUUACUAUAGCUUGACACUGAACAUUGAGCCUUGAUGUGUAGGAUAGGUGGGAGGCUUUGAAGUGUGGACGCCAGUCUGCAUGGAGCCGACCUUGAAAUACCACCCUUUAAUGUUUGAUGUUCUAACGUUGACCCGUAAUCCGGGUUGCGGACAGUGUCUGGUGGGUAGUUUGACUGGGGCGGUCUCCUCCUAAAGAGUAACGGAGGAGCACGAAGGUUGGCUAAUCCUGGUCGGACAUCAGGAGGUUAGUGCAAUGGCAUAAGCCAGCUUGACUGCGAGCGUGACGGCGCGAGCAGGUGCGAAAGCAGGUCAUAGUGAUCCGGUGGUUCUGAAUGGAAGGGCCAUCGCUCAACGGAUAAAAGGUACUCCGGGGAUAACAGGCUGAUACCGCCCAAGAGUUCAUAUCGACGGCGGUGUUUGGCACCUCGAUGUCGGCUCAUCACAUCCUGGGGCUGAAGUAGGUCCCAAGGGUAUGGCUGUUCGCCAUUUAAAGUGGUACGCGAGCUGGGUUUAGAACGUCGUGAGACAGUUCGGUCCCUAUCUGCCGUGGGCGCUGGAGAACUGAGGGGGGCUGCUCCUAGUACGAGAGGACCGGAGUGGACGCAUCACUGGUGUUCGGGUUGUCAUGCCAAUGGCACUGCCCGGUAGCUAAAUGCGGAAGAGAUAAGUGCUGAAAGCAUCUAAGCACGAAACUUGCC